CUAAAAGCCAGCUCAGGUGUGGCCACUGGAGGUGGCCCUAGGAUAUAAUGUAAACUUUUUUUUUUUUUUUUUUUUUUUAAAGGCAGUGUUUACAGCAAAAAGCUGGCAGUGAAAGACUACUCAUCCAGACAACUACAUUAAGCUGUAGUUGUUCUGGUGACUAUAGUGCACCUUUAGGGCCUUCAAUACCACUUAAUGUUCACUGCUUCUAAACUACAAUAGCAUUACACAAGACUUUAUACAGUUUUACAGCAUCCAAAUUGACAGUUAAAUGCAG